GCCCAUUUAUAUUACCUUUUAUGAGAUAUUCUAUAUAAUUUAAAAAAAAUAAUUAUUCAUAUUAUCAUUUCUUUAAUAAUAUUAUAAUAAAAAUUUUAGAUAAAAUUAUUUUUUAAAAAAAAUCAUACAAAACUAUUGUUCAACCGUCUGCACUCUCCCCCAUGGCUCCUCUGCUCCAUCACUUGCUCACAACUCCAUCUCUCAUCC
rnacentral:lncRNA from 1 species